GGGGUUGACAUGGAUUUGACAGCAUUUGAUGGGGGUAUGUAAGCAUGCAGAGCAGGUGGAACUACGGCUCUUAAAUCUCGGGUUUCGAACUAUAACUGGCGAAAACAAUUACGCUCUCGCUGCCUAAUCGAAGUACAGUAGAUAGGUUUUAUCUCGGCCUAAGAGGCUGAGACGAGACAUCUCUCAAAAGCCCAAUCCAGGAGGCGUUUGGUUCAGAGGUGCUGGAAAUUCCAGGAUAGUCGUACGUAUGCUCCUUGCGUCCGAUGAAUCUCCAAAGAGAUAAGGAUCGCUUCGGGUGCCUUUACCCACAGCUAUCUCGAAAACCAAGAAAAGGAUAAGCAUGUAGAAAGCACACUCUUACGGUGUUUGGACCGGGGUUCGAUCCCCCGCAGCUCCAC
rnacentral:tmRNA from 1 species